GAAAAUAGAACUCUUUCCAACACUGGAAGCCCCCCAAGAGUCCCUGUGUUGCGGCGGGGACACAGCUGGUCCUGAGAAGGCAUCAUACUCAGACAAGCCUGCAAGAUUGCAUUCAUUCCUGUUGGUGAGUCCUAAGCUUUAGA
rnacentral:lncRNA from 1 species